GUUUACGGAGGUAGGAAGGAGAACCAAGCCCCAGCCUGUUCACAAGGGCUAUGCGUGUAUAUCUAUGUGUACCUGUGUGUGCGUGCACAUGCGCGCUUGUGUGUGUCUCCAUCCCCCAUAAACCCACCCCCACCUUCCCUGAACUUGACUUCAUUAACAUAUGGAAGCCAUUUCUUCUCUCCUGUCACUGUUAUCUUUUGGCAUGGAAGUUUAGUUUUAUACGGCUAUCAACAGGCAAAGAUCCAAGCAUAAAGAAUAAAUCAACAGAGCUGAUCUGAGACGCAGCACUUUAAUGCAUAAGUGUAUAUUUAAUGUGUCUGCUGAAAGAAUGUCUAAUUACCCUGUCAUUGAACAAAGCGCAUGUUCAACUGUGAUAAAUUAUGCCAUCCUUUACUUCUACAAAACAUAUUGAGAUUGAGAAAAGCUGCAGCAAAAUCACCACAUCAUCCACCCAAUAGGACAAGUUGGCAUUGCCCAGACCACCACGGGAGCAGAGGAGAAACCACCGGGCUGCAGUCUCCGCACUGUUUGACGGGAUGCUGUUUUCAUGUACAAUCAGGGCUCUCCCUUGCUGCUUGUUGGUAUUUUAUCAAGACCUCCUAAGGCAGCAGAGAAAGAAAAGCCAGAAACCCAGCUGCACAGAGACUGCAGAGUGCAUGUGUGUUCUUGCCUGGAAGGCCGUGUCAGAACCAAACAGAGAGGCUGCCUGGAGAGCACCUGUCAGCCUGAUGCCAUGACAGCAUCAGUCCAUUGAGGACCCCUGGAGGGGAUGACGAAGAGGUGGCCAGAGGAAAGACAAGAACAUGUGGGGAAGAGAGGGAGCUACAGGUGCUGAGGGGCUCUGUCCUCACAGCCACACUGGACUUGGCCCCGUGGCGCUCUGUAGCAGGCUGCAGCCCAGAGGGUGGCUCCCAGUGCCAGCAAAGAUCCACACGCCCAGGCUUAGGGUGGGUGCUGCAGAGUCCCCCUUCCAGGAGCCAUG
rnacentral:lncRNA from 1 species